UCUGGAUCAGACAGCACACUUUUCCCUUCCACCGAAGACCGAAGACUGUUUCCGUAUAGAGGACCAAGCACAAGAAAGCAACCUGGCCCAAGGGCCGGCUCCCCUAAGGGCCACCUCAUGGCUGUGCUGCUUCAUACCUGAACUGUAAUGUGAUUGAGCUGUUCCAGAGCCGUGCUAUAUCACAACUGACAUGUUUGCAUUGAAUAAACUUCCUUCUUCGCUGCAUCCCAAAUUGAAAUUCCCAUUGGCUUUGAAUUGGCACCAACAGCCAUCAGUUGAAGCAGCUUUGAAGAGAUCGUCAUUUUUAGAUUCUAUGAUUUAUUGUGUCACAGGAGAAGGACAAGCAGAAGAAAACAUGGGCUGAUAUAAGUGUUACCAGGGCAAAGCAAAUCCAACCUUCUUAAAGAGUAAGACACUAUUCCAUUCCUUUCCCUCCCCUGUAAUGCCUUGAGAGGUACGAGAGUUUCAUAUGAGCUUUGUGAUACAUUACCAAAUUUCAGCGCGUGUUUGAAAUUCAAAUGCACAUGAGAUUUCGCAAUGUUAUUUUUCAGUUGUUCUCAACUGUCCCAAAUAAAACCUCUCCCCUGGGGCCACAUGUGAGGCUGCGGGUCUCACUGCCAGCGCCAGGAAGGCUGUCCUUCCAGGAAGGGCUGCACAGACCAUGGGAACCGCCAGCCAGCUCACAAGAAUGAAGAGAAUGUCGGGAGAGGAAGUGGUGGCUGUGAGUCAGCAUGAGUCAUCUCGUUCCAAUGAGAAUGAAGACUGAGGUGUGUGCCUCUUUUCUUUCUUUCUUCCUUUUUUUUUUCAUCUCAAUGGUACAGACAUCAUUGGGAAUGGACGGAAAUAAGUGACUGUAUGGUCGUAGCUUUUUUAAGUUCCAAACGCAUUCCAGGCAGGCCGUGCCUGAGCCAGUGUCUGUCUCCAGAGUGUCGCAGCGCUGUUCCUGGGAAGGUGGAGCGUCAGCUUCUCCCCGAUGGGCAAAGUGAGGAGGAGCAGGAGAGAGAGCACUUGGCGGAGGUCUGCCUUCCCCGGCACCCUUUCCUUCCUUUGCAAACGGACCCUUGUAAGGGAACAGGCAGCUCUAGAGACUUUUCGCCGGUCAUUUCAGAGGGACUGAAACGCCUCAGAAUUACUUUAGGGGAAGUAAAAGGCAGCGGAGAAGAGCUGGCAGCCCGAGUUCGUCAAAGUUCCGGGCGCGGUCGCCCACGGUUACCGCGAGGCGCGCACACCUGCGAGCCUGGCUCGGCCCGCACCGCGCACCCCACCUGCGUGCUCGAGCGCCCACCUGGGUGCUGGGGUUUCACAGUAAGGCGCGUGCGAACUGCAAACCGCUCCCCUGGGCUGGACACGGAAGAUACUUUGGGGAAAAGCACCUCCUCCUGGAGGGAGUCCUCUCCCCCAGGGCCCAGCGGGGAGAACCUCCAAAGACCGAAAAACCGCAGGGUUCCCUGCGCAAGGGCCUGACUGAGUUUCAUCAGCUUAGCGCAGGUCCUUCCUGGCAGGGCUCGCCUCUGACUUGGACAGAAACAAGCAGAAAUGUGCUGCGGAGCAGACACCCCCGAGGCUGUAUUUAAUCCUCAAAAAACUGUCCAGAAGAACCCUGGCCCGUUGGCUCAGUCGCUUGGACCGUCCUCCCACACAGCGAAACGUUGAGGGUUGGAGGGAGCCCAUUGAUUUGAUGUUUCUCUUUCAGCUCGUCCACAGGGAUGUUCUCUCUCUCUCCCCCCUCCCCCUCCCUCCCUCCUCCCCAACACCCUUUCUUUCUCUCUAAAGUCAAUAAACAUAUCCUCAGGUGAGCAUUCACAAAAAAUACUCGCUAGUAGAACAAAACUGUCCAGAAGUGUCGAGUGCCUUUUUUCUCUUUCAUUUAGUUGGGCACAAACAAUGUCGCUUUUCAAAACACUUCAAAACCAGCAAACAAGCAAACCUAAAAGCGCUGGGCAGUGCUGAACACACCACACUAACUUGGUAGUCUGAUGCCUCACAGAAAACGCCAGAAAGAUGGUUUCUAAGCAGCUAGACCAACUCCAAGUGCUUGAAAUGAAAAGCUCACGACUGCUGGAAGGACCCGUGUGAUGCUGGAAAGCUGGCUGGACAAUGACCCUGCAGCAAGGAAACUGGGCUGGGAAGAAAUUAAGACAGCGGUUCCUUGAACGGGGUUUGAAAAGACUGAGUCAAGGCAGCCCUGCUCUUUCUAAAAACCCAUUAGCAGUGUGUGUGAGGGUUCCGGUUGCUCCAUGUCCUCAGGCGUGCCUGCUUCGGUCAGUCUGUCAGUCGGUCAGUCAUUCUAUCCGUUAUCGCCAUCAUGCUAAUUGCUGCAUAAUGAUGUCUCCUUGUGAUUUAAUUUGCAUCCCUCUGAUGACUCUGCAUCAUUAGUCACUAAGGAGCAUCUUGUAUACACUUGUUUGUCAUUUCUGUCUUCGGUGAUAUGUGUAUUUAAAUAUUUUGCCAAUUUAAAAUUAUUUUUAAUUUUGCUUUUCAACUACAAUUGAUAUGCAAUGUUAUAUUACUUUCAGGUGUACAGCAGUGAUUAGACUUUUAUACACCUUGCAGGGUGAUCCCCCAGUGAAUCUAGUAAAUCUUAUACCACACACAGUCUUCACAAUAUUAAUUUGUACUCCCGAAUUCCUUUCUUUUGCCCAUUUUUUAAUUGGGUUGUUUGAUUUCUUACUGAAUUUUGGGAGUUCUUCACAUAUUAUGGAUACAAGCCCAUUAUUAAAUAUAUGAUUUGCAGAUGUUUUC